AGCGAACGCUGGCGGCAGGCUUAACACAUGCGAGUCGAGCGGGUGUAGCAAUACAUCAGCGGCAGACGGGUGAGUAACGCGUGGGAACGUACCUUUUGGUUCGGAGCAACACAGGGAAACUUGUGCUAAUACCGGAUAAGCCCUUACGGGGAAAGAUUUAUCGCCGAAAGAGCGGCCCGCGUCUGAUUAGCUAGUUGGUAGGGUAACGGCCUACCAAGGCGACGAUCAGUAGCUGGUCUGAGAGGAUGAUCAGCCACAUUGGGACUGAGACACGGCCCAAACUCCUACGGGAGGCAGCAGUGGGGAAUAUUGGACAAUGGGGGCAACCCUGAUCCAGCCAUGCCGCGUGAGUGAUGAAGGCCCUAGGGUUGUAAAGCUCUUUUGUGCGGGAAGAUAAUGACGGUACCGCAAGAAUAAGCCCCGGCUAACUUCGUGCCAGCCGCCGCCGUAACAC
rnacentral:rRNA from 1 species